AUUGAACGCUGGCGGCAUGCUUUACACAUGCAAGUCGAACGGUAACAGGUUAAGCUGACGAGUGGCGAACGGGUGAGUAAUGCAUCGGAACGUGCCCGAUCGUGGGGGAUAACACUUCGAAAGAAGUGCUAAUACCGCAUACGAUCUGAGGAUGAAAGCGGGGGACCGUAAGGCCUCGCGCGAUCGGAGCGGCCGAUGUCAGAUUAGGUAGUUGGUGGGGCAAAGGCUCACCAAGCCGACGAUCUGUAGCUGGUCUGAGAGGACGACCAGCCACACUGGGACUGAGACACGGCCCAGACUCCUACGGGAGGCAGCAGUGGGGAAUUUUGGACAAUGGGCGCAAGCCUGAUCCAGCAAUGCCGCGUGCAGGAAGAAGGCCUUCGGGUUGUAAACUGCUUUUGUACGGAGCGAAAAGGCUCCCUCUAAUACAGGGGGCUUAUGACGGUACCGUAAGAAUAAGCACCGGCUAACUACGUGCCAGCCGCCGCAGUAA
rnacentral:rRNA from 1 species